UACGAAGGGGGCUAGCGUUGCUCGGAAUUACUGGGCGUAAAGCGCACGUAGGCGGUCUUUUAAGUCGGGGGUGAAAUCCUGGAGCUCAACUCCAGAACUGCCUUCGAUACUGGAAGACUCGAGUCCGGGAGAGGUGAGUGGAACUGCGAGUGUAGAGGUGAAAUUCGUAGAUAUUCGCAAGAACACCAGUGGCGAAGGCGGCUUCCUGGCCUGUUCUUGACGCUGAGGCGCGAAAGCUAGGGGAGCAAACGGGG
rnacentral:rRNA from 1 species